rnacentral:rRNA from 1 species
AUGGCGACCUCCAAGCCGCGCCGUUCCAGUCGUACGAGGAAAACGGCGAGGACUCUGACGGAGAUCCCCGACCACAUCAUCGCGGAGAUCUUCCUCCGGCUGCCCGCCGCGGAAGACCUAGCCCGUGCCUCCGCCGCCUGCGUCUCCUUCCGCCGUCUCGUCGCCGACAAAUCCUUCCUCCGCCGCUUCCGCCGCCUCCACGACCCGCCCCUCCUCGCCUUUUUCGACCGCAACGGGUUCCACCACCCCCUCCCGCCUCACCCCUCCGCGCCAGCCGCCAGCGCGCUCGCCGACGCCGCCGACCUCUCCUUCUCCUUCUUCCCCAACCACGGCCGGUGGUCCGUCCAGGACAUCCGCGAAGGACGCGUCCUCCUCCUCCGCCCUGGCGCCUGCAAGCAGCCCCAGAUCUGCAUGGAGGCCGCGGUGUGCGACCCCUUGCACCGGAAGUACGUCCUCCUUCCCCCAGUACCUGACGACCUGGCCGCUUCGAUGAUGCACCCGGCCACGGCACACGAACCCUGGUGCGAGGCUUUCCUUGUUCCCCUUGAUGAGGAGGCGGAGACGGCAUUCGGUGUGAUGUGGAUGGUACAUUUCACAACUAGGCUGGCAGCGUUCGUCUACUCCUCGACCACUGGACAGUGGCAAGCUGUUGCAUCCAAGGAAUGGAAUGAGUUGCUCCUUGGACAGGGCGAGUCGACCAUGGUGUCACCGAUCGACCGUGACUUUUAUGGGCGCUAUUACGCCUAUGGCUGCUUCUACUGGGAGUCCACCGUGAUGGGGAAGAAAGAUUUGCUCGUGUUUGACACCCGGAGAAUGGAGUUCUCUAGUUGUGACCUCCCACCAAAAGAAUUGUGUCCGCUAGAUCUGGCCAUUGUGGAGGCAGGGGAAGCCAGGCUUGGCUUGUUCGGUAUCCAUCUUGAAGCUGGAAAGUUUGAUCUCUGUUAUUACAUCAAGGGAAACAAAUGUGAGAGUUCUAGCCAGUGGCAGCUGGAGAAGACAAUCCCAAUAUGUUCGGGCUGCCGGCCUGAUAUCAAAGCUGCAACCGGGAGGUACUUGCUCCUAGGAAAGUUUGGACCCAUGCGGUUCGUAAACUCAACUCCACACCAAGAUUUGGAAUAUAUCUCGGUUGAUGUCAAGACAUUGCAGCUUGCGAGGGUUUGUACCAAAUCUUCUGGGUUUGCCUUUUCCAAGACGUCGAUAUAUACCAACUUCCCGCCAUCGUUGUCUUCACCAAAAAUAUGA